GACGAACGCUGGCGGCGUGCUUAACACAUGCAAGUCGAACGGAAAGGCCCUGCUUUUGUGGGGUGCUCGAGUGGCGAACGGGUGAGUAACACGUGAGUAACCUGCCCUUGACUUUGGGAUAACUUCAGGAAACUGGGGCUAAUACUGGAUAUGAGCUCCUGCUGCAUGGUGGUGGUUGGAAAGUUUCGGCGGUUGGGGAUGGACUGGCGGCUUAUCAGCUUGUUGGUGGGGUAGUGGCUUACCAAGGCUUUGACGGGUAGCCGGCCUGAGAGGGUGACCGGCGACAUUGGGACUGAGAUACGGCCCAGACGCCUACGGGAGGCAGCAGUGGGGAAUAUUGCACAAUGGGCGGAAGCCUGAUGCAGCAACGCCGCGUGCGGGAUGACGGCCUUCGGGGUGUAAACCGCUUUCGCCUGUGACGAAGCGUGAGUGACGGUAAUGGGUAAAGAAGCACCGGCUAACUACGUG
rnacentral:rRNA from 1 species